UGCAAGUCGAGCGGAUGAGAGAGCUUUGCUCUCUGAUUCAGCGGCGGACGGGUGAGUAAUGCCUAGGAAUCUGCCUGGUAGUGGGGGACAACGUUUCGAAAGGAACGCUAAUACCGCAUACGUCCUACGGGAGAAAGCAGGGGACCUUCGGGCCUUGCGCUAUCAGAUGAGCCUAGGUCGGAUUAGCUAGUUGGUGAGGUAAUGGCUCACCAAGGCGACGAUCCGUAACUGGUCUGAGAGGAUGAUCAGUCACACUGGAACUGAGACACGGUCCAGACUCCUACGGGAGGCAGCAGUGGGGAAUAUUGGACAAUGGGCGAAAGCCUGAUCCAGCCAUGCCGCGUGUGUGAAGAAGGUCUUCGGAUUGUAAAGCACUUUAAGUUGGGAGGAAGGGCAGUAAGUUAAUACCUUGCUGUUUUGACGUUACCGACAGAAUAAGCACCGGCUAACUUCGUGCCAGCAGCCGCGGUAAUACGAAGGGUGCAAGCGUUAAUCGGAAUUACUGGGCGUAAAGCGCGCGUAGGUGGUUUGUUAAGUUGGAUGUGAAAGCCCCGGGCUCAACCUGGGAACUGCAUCCAAAACUGGCAAGCUAGAGUAUGGCAGAGGGUGGUGGAAUUUCCUGUGUAGCGGUGAAAUGCGUAGAUAUAGGAAGGAACACCAGUGGCGAAGG
rnacentral:rRNA from 1 species